rnacentral:misc_RNA from 1 species
AGUUGGUCCUCUCUUCAACCACCCACAUACAUACAAGCCUUUCUCGACUAGUGCAUCUUCAGAAGCUUCACUUAAAACACGUCCCUGAACAUUUGGAACAAUACCUUUACGGUGAUCAAAAGGCAAGCCAGCAACAGGUAUCGACUUGUAACCAACACUCUUCAAUACCAGCCCGCAUUCCAUUUCUUCAAAAAGUCCAGUACCAACAGCAAUUUGUUUCCCAGAUCCAACAUCUUCUUUAAGAAUUGUCCUCUCCAUCCGCAAACCACCAACAUGACCACUUCUACAAUCUGAUUCCAGGAACCUGUCUGGUUUCCUGAAGAAAACAAAGUGCAGUUCUUUUUGACCUGGAUUGCAUUCGGAAGUUGCAGGAGUGGCUGCCUUAGAGAGCAGUUCAUGAAUUCUCCUUUUAAUCCGGUUAUUCUUUAGUUCUCAUCUACUGGGGUUUUACUUAAAUCCGCUUGCCGAAUUCCAACGGAUAGGUCCUUGAUACCAGCAAUCUUAGACAGACAAAAUAUCCACGAACUCACGUAGAACUUCACGCAGUUCUUUUGCCGUGAAGGCUGCUUGUGCUGCUCCACGUCUUCCAACCAAAUACACUUUUCUAAUGGAGCUCUCGCUUAAAGCUGCCAAAGCAUGGCAGGAGAUAUCAGUUGUUGCCAAUUCACUAGUUGGUCGUAAAAGGAUCCGCGCCACAUCAAGAGCUACAUUUCCCUGACCAAUAAUAACAGCAGUAUCGGAGCUCUUCAAAUCUGGUGCCAGAUUUCGGCAGUCUGGAUGGCCAUUAUACCACCAAACAAAU